GACGAACGCUGGCGGCGUGGAUUAGGCAUGCAAGUCGAACGGUAUCAUCCUUUCGGGGGUGAGAGAGUGGCGAACUGGUGAGUAACACGUAGGUUAUCUACCCUCAAGACGGGGACAACCCAGGGAAACUUGGGCUAAUACCGGAUGUGAGCAACUUUUAGUUGUUUGAAAGGUGGCGUAAGCUGUCGCUUGGGGAUGAGCCUGCGUCCUAUUAGUUAGUUGGUGAGGUAACGGCUCACCUAGGCAAUGAUAGGUAGGCGGCCUUAACGGGUGGUCGCCCACACUGGGAUUGAGAUACGGCCCAGACUCCUACGGGAGGCAGCAGUCGAGAAUAGUCUACAAUGGUCGGAAGACUGAUAGUGCGACGCCGCGUGAACGAUGAAUCCCUUCGGGGUGUAAAGUUCUUUUAUAUGUGAGCAGUGCUUCUUAUAUUAACAGUAUGGGGAGAGAGAUAUUAGCAUAUGAAUAAGCAACGGCUAACUCCGUGCCAGCAGCCGACGGUAAAAUACCG
rnacentral:rRNA from 1 species